rnacentral:lncRNA from 1 species
CAAAAACAUGUUGCUAUGUUGGUUGUCCCUACCUUUGAGACAUGCUCAAUUUGUUAAAUACUAAUCACACUACUUCAUCUCCACUUGAGCAGAUCUCUAUAAAUGCCAUCACGCUACCUUUGUUUAUCCUAGUAAGUGUUAGUUUGGAAGUACUGCACAUACUUCUAUUAGCUUUUAAAUUAAGCAUGGUGCUUAGGUUAAACAGCCUUCCUUAAUCUGAUUAGACAUGGAGUCUAGUUCAGUUAUUGAACUAAAAACUGCUUGUGUAGACAUUGUAUAUUUUGUCGGACUAAUCCCUGCAGAAAAACUUUCAAUAUCAAUUUGGGAAGUCCUAAGAUAAACUCACAUCAGAGAUGAAGAGAGGGACACAUGAAGUUCAACAAUUUGCACAAGAAGGACAUAGCUCAUUCAUCAUACAAAGAUGAUCCAUGGAAGGAGACAAACUACAUAAACAAGAACACAACCACUACGAAUGGGAAGCUUUCCUACGGUGAGAUGGUACCAUCACUCUUCAAAUUAAGGUAACAUCUUAAGAUAUUUGACUAUCACUUUUACAAGCUUCUCCUUAGUUCUGGUGUUCACAUAAAUAAAGAGACAAAUAUGUAUGAUUUAUAACUCCAAAUUAACCAACCCAACUGAUUCAGCAUGUUUAGUUCUUUAAUCUUUGUUCCUAGUACUACCUCCAUGAUCCCACACUCCUAAUCAUAUGAGCUAAAGUAUUGCACAUUCAAUCUUUGGGAAGAUAUAAAGAAAAAGACAUAUACAUAGAUAGAUUAUGUUUCCAUAAGGUUGAGCGAUCUGAUCUGACAAAUGUUUUAAAUGUUACACUUAUGAACUUAUCAUCCAUCAACUUUUUCUUGCUCCCUAUGCUUAAGGAUAGAGAAGAAUAAAUAUACUUUUGGUUCUGUUGGUGUUUUCCACCAACAGGACCCAUGCACUUGAUCUUUGCCUUGUCUCUAUGAGCAGGUACACUUGGAACAAAACAUGGUGGAGUUUUACAACUCCCAGAUUCCACCAAGUGAAGGACCUGGAUCUACGAGCACAAACACACUGAGCAAGAUACUGCCAACGCCGCACUUUGAACUGCUGGACAAAUGAAGAACAAGGGUGACACCAUAUCAAGAGGUGCAGACGUCAAGGUCCACACCUGAAUCAAAUGACACACCUGAAGAAUGAACACGGUGAGAAGUCUUGUUCAGAAGACUUAAAACAGUAAACCCUCGCCGAAAGGUAAAAUUGGUAGUUAUCCAUAAAUUAUUUACUUUCCUUAAAUGUCUUGUUAGUUAAUCAUACUAUCUUGAAAAGAAAAUAAAAAUGUUAAAAAUUGUAAGCCCCAUGUGAGUAUGCUCGUGGCAUAAAACCGAUAAGUACAUUCACUGUGGUGGCGUAAAAAUAAAAUAAAUAUAUUCCUGUCUUAUAGAAAUAAAAAUAUAAAAAUAAAUUUAUGAUCCUACCAAAGAGAGUAAUAUUUAUUAGAGGAAGCUCAACAUGAUAAAGGCAAAGAGAUUUUAUGCUAACACUUAACCAGUUCCACAAAGCUUUGUUGUCUAUUUGAGCUCCACAGAAUUCAAGGAUCAAAGAAGACUAGCAGACGGAGGACAUCCUAAUCGCUGUUAGGGUGCUGCCGACAUUCAAAUACACCUCCGCCACCUGCUAGCUACAUCAGAAGAAAUUACGUCAAUAUCCAGCUAAGUGUUUCUACUCAUGUUUAUACUUUACUCAAAUAAUAAAAAGAUACAUAAUCAUAAAAACCCAAAUAAAGAUUUUGUGUUUAUAUAUAUAUAUAUAUAUAUAUAUAUAUAUAUCUUUGCUUAGUUUGCUAAAUAAAUAAAUAAAUAAAGUUUGCUAUGAACCCUCAUGAUAAGCUCUCACAUGGAAAUGAUGAAUAGUUGCUCUACCAUGACUAGUUCUCAAAAUUGAAUUCUCUCUCAAGUUUAGGCAUGACUGUUAUGAAUUAAGAUUUGCUCUAAACCUGAACUUGUGGGAGGAGUACCUGAUCAAAAGUCUAAGUCGUUAACGGAUAUGACAUGGGAAGGUUGAGCUGCUGUUUAUCUGUUCCUAGAGAUGCUAGAAUUCUGAAGAAUUUUUUGAAAAUCUUUAAAAUGUUGCAUGAUGAGUUUCUGUAUGAUGAGAGUUUAAAAUCCUACCACAGCCAUAUAUACAUGCUUAUUAGACUAUGAACCAUACAUUUACUUUUUACUGCUUAUGAGCAUUGAGUGUGGUCAAGCUGUGUAGACCCUUAGGAGCUUGUCAUGCGGUUAAAAUCAAGAUUCACUUGCACGUUCACUCAUAUAUGUUACUUCUACUCCGGAAGUAUGCAUCCGCAUCCAUCCACUCACUUCCAUCUCUAGAUUCACCUAAAAAUAUUUUACUCCUGUCCGGAAGAGAAUAGCCAAAAACAUUAUCCUAUCCCUGUUAUUCCCCGUGAAAUAAAUGCUCGAGUUAUCUUGGUUACUACCACUUGCUAUAUUAUUCUAGUAGGAUGAGUGCUCUGAAAAAAAUAUGAAUACGAGGAAAUAAAAAGGGGCAAGUGCCUGGAACCUCGAAGAAAAGAAAAAGUGAGACGAGAGGUAAAAAUGGACAAGUGUCCGACAGUAGAAUUAGGGGUACAAGAUACCCACCUGAGAGAAAAAAAAGAAAAUAUAGAGCAUCUCAUUCCCCUCAAAAAGCUUUAAAGUGCAAGAAAGGUAUGUAUCCCCUCAAAAGAGCAAAAGUAGAAUUAGACUUUCACCAUUGUUUUCACCAUCAUCACCAUACACCAUUGAUUCGCCACACAUGCACAUCUUGAUACAGACUUAUUGACCUGUUUCUCUCGAUCCAUGGUUUGACUAUGCAAUAAAUGUCUUGUAAGUAUGUAUACUUUAUCUCCCACCUAUGAGCUCCAGAUAUCAAGCCUUAUUAGAGUAGGGUGAGAGAGAAGGCAAUGUCACUAUGCCUUAUACCACAAAUACUACAUACUUUGAGAGAAGGCAUAUACCAUUACUGCCUUGGUAAGGAUCCAGAAAUACCACAAAAGAGAGAUUUGAGAGAGUCAUACAAGGAAUCUCUGAGUUUUAUUUGAAAAUCUGCAAAAACUCCAGAGCUCUAGUUAAUCAAAGAAUAGGAGACAUGGCGCUUGACUAGACCGUUCUAUCUUUUAACUACUCAAGACACAAGUGACGGUUGCAAGACCCAUGG